UGAAUAGACAGCUUGGAUGCACGGGCUACCGUCAGAACAUCUGUCUUGACCGCUGCAAGAACCCUAACACCAUCAUAGAAUUGGCACAGACCAUCGUCAGUGAUCAUAAAAUCAGGAACUUCGUUAGAUGUAAACUUAUCAAGGUUCUUUAUAAUCUCAAAAUCAAUUGACUGAGCUUCCCAAAUCUACAUGAGAAGGUCAGGCUGGGCUCGAGUUUGGGCGAGAU
rnacentral:lncRNA from 1 species